UUCCGGUUGAUCCCGCCGGAGAUCACCGCUAUUAGAGUUCCACUAACCCAUGCGAGUUCCUGGGUAAAACCAGAGCGAACGGCUGAGUAACACGUAGUUAACAUCACUUUAGGUGGCGAAUAACCUUGGGAAACUGAGAUGAAUACGCCAUAGUCAAUUAUGCCUGGAACGGUUUAUUGACGAAAGCUUCGGCGCCCAAAGAUUGGACUGCGGAGGAUUAGGUCGAUGUUAGGGUAAUGACCUGACAUGCCAAUAAUCCUUAGGGGCCAUGAAAGUGGUAGCCUCCAGAUGGAUUCUGAGACACGAAUCCAGGCCCUAUGGGGCGCAGCAGGGGGGAAAACUCCGCAAUGCACGAAAGUGUGACGGGGGAACUCUAAGUGCCAGCACACUGUGUUGGCUUUUCAUUAGUCCAAAUCGCUAGUGGAAUAGGUGGGGGGUAAGACCGUUGCCAGCCGCCGCGGUAAUAACGGCUCCACAAGUGGUGAUCACGUAUAUUGGGUCUAAAGCAUUCGUAGCCGGUUUGUUAAGUCUUCUGUGAAAUCUGGCAGAAAACUGUCAGGCGUGCAGGAGAUACUGGCAAGCUUGGGACCGGGAGGAGCCUGGAGUACUUUUAGGGUAGGGGUAAAAUCCUGUAAUCCUAAAGGGACUACCUGUGGCGAAGGCGCCAGGCUAGAACGGAUCCGACGGUGAGGAAUGAAAGCGAGGGGAGCAAAGGGGAUUAGAUUGACUUCAGUAGAAUUUUUCGACUGAAGGCCUAAAUACCCCCGUAGUCCUCGCUGUAAACGAUGCCCGCUUGGUAUUGGAAGUUGCUAGACUUCUUCCAGUGCCGUAGGGAAGCCAUUGAGCGGGCCACCUGGGAAGUACAGUCGCAAGGCUGAAACUUAAAGGAAUUGGCGGGGGAGCACACAAGGGGUGCGGUCUGCGGUUCAAUUGGACUCAACGCCGGGAACCUCACCAGGGGUGACAGCAGUAUGAUGGUCAGUCUGAAGGGCUUACCUGACGCGCUGAGAGGUAUUGCAUGGCCGUCGUCAGCUCGUGCCGCGAGAGCUUUUACUAAGGUCUUUCUUAAGAAAGGCUCCGGUAAAGGUGUCCUGUUAACAGGUCGUGGUGCAGUAAAAAUGACAUCACCAUGGAAGCUUCAUAAACACCCUAUAGUGUAUAUCAAGAAAAGUAAAAAAUAAGCAAGAGAGUAAACGCGUAUACCUAAUAAGGGUUUUGGAUUAAUUAUCGAAGCUUUUAUUUUCAAACUCGAAAGAGUUUGAAAAGCUUGGAAAUUCGCAAGAAUUUCCAUGAUCUGACAGAUAGUCCGGUAACGAGCGAGACCCACGCCGUAUGUUGCCAGCUGUUUCUUCGGAAGCGGCGCACUCAUGCGGGACUGCCCGUGCUAAAUGGGAGGAAGGAGUGGUCAACGGUAGGUCAGUAUGGUCCGAAUCCCCUGGGCUACACGCGGGCGCCAAUGGCAAGGACAAUAGGAUGCAACUCCGAAAGGAGGAGCUAAUCCCUGAACCCUUGUCUCAGUACAGAUUGAGGGUUGCAACUCACCCUCAUGACGCCGGAAUCCCUAGUAGGCGAAUGUUAGCAUCUUUCGUCGAAUACGUCCCCGCUCCUUGCACACACCGCCCGUC
rnacentral:rRNA from 1 species